rnacentral:rRNA from 1 species
UACGGAGGGUGCAAGCGUUAUCCGGAUUCACUGGGUUUAAAGGGUGCGUAGGCGGACAGGUAGGUCCGUGGUGAAAUCCUGCAGCUUAACUGCAGAACUGCCAUGGAUACUAUCUAUCUUGAAUGUCGUGGAGGUUAGCGGAAUAUGUCAUGUAGCGGUGAAAUGCUUAGAGAUGACAUAGAACACCCAUUGCGAAGGCAGCUAACUACGCGAUAAUUGACGCUGAUGCACGAAAGCGUGGGGAUCAAACAGG